rnacentral:rRNA from 1 species
AACGUAGGAGACAAACGUUAUCCGGAGUUACUGGGCGUAAAGGGCUCGUAGGCGGCCAACUAAGUCAGACGUGAAAUCCCUCGGCUUAACCGGGGAACUGCGUCUGAUACUGGAUGGCUUGAGGUUGGGAGAGGGAUGCGGAAUUCCAGGUGUAGCGGUGAAAUGCGUAGAUACUGGGAGGAACACCAGUGGCGAAGGCGGCUACCUGGACCGGUUCUGACGCUGAGGCGCGAAAGCGUGGGUAGCAAACAGG